UUAUUAAGAAGAAAAAAGAUUCCAUCAAUAAUUGUUUGGCAUUGUCAUUUUCCAUUUUUUUUCCUCGUCAACACUAGUGUCAUGUGGAUUUCCAGAUCAUCAACACACUGCUUUGUCCCACUUUGGUCUCUUAUCUCCUUAUUAAAUUUCUGGCUCUCCCACGUUCCACCCAUCCUUUAUUCUUCCACUCACCCAUUUAUUUGUCUCAAUUCUCAAAUAUGAAUUUUAUAUAAUUCGUUAUGUU
rnacentral:lncRNA from 1 species